rnacentral:rRNA from 1 species
UACAGAGGUCUCAAGCGUUGUUCGGAUUCAUUGGGCGUAAAGGGUGCGUAGGCGGCGCGGUAAGUCGGGUGUGAAAUCUCGGAGCUUAACUCCGAAACUGCAUUCGAUACUGCCGUGCUUGAGGACUGGAGAGGAGACUGGAAUUUACGGUGUAGCGGUGAAAUGCGUAGAUAUCGGGAGGAACACCGGUGGCGAAGGCGGCUUGCUGGGCCAGUUCUGACGCUGAGGAGCGAAAGCGUGGGGAGCGAACAGG